CUUGUUUUUGGGUUGUUCUGUUUGUCAGUUCAGCUCCUGCUUCUUCCAGGUCCUGCCCCUGAAGGCUCCAGUUGGUUUGCAGCACCAGGGCCUUGUGGCUCCAGCUCAUGUGCAGCUUCAGGUCCAGCUCAUGGAUGGUGCCAGCUGGUUUGUGAGUCUGUUUGGUUGCAGCUGCAGCUCAUGGGCAACUCUGGCUGGAGCUCGUUUGCACCUUCAGGCCCAGCAGGUUCCUGCUUCCAGUGUGUUUUGGGCUCCUGUCAGUUACAGAACCAGUCCAGUGUCAUGUCUCCCAGCUCCUCUCCAGUCCCAGCUGGUUUCAGGAGCUCCCACCAGACCCUCCUGCCUGCACC